rnacentral:rRNA from 1 species
GAUGAACGCUGGCGGCGUGCCUAAUACAUGCAAGUCGAGCGAACAGACGAGGAGCUUGCUCCUCUGACGUUAGCGGCGGACGGGUGAGUAACACGUGGAUAACCUACCUAUAAGACUGGGAUAACUUCGGGAAACCGGAGCUAAUACCGGAUAACAUGUUGAACCGCAUGGUUCAACAGUGAAAGACGGUCUUGCUGUCACUUAUAGAUGGAUCCGCGCCGCAUUAGCUAGUUGGUAAGGUAACGGCUUACCAAGGCAACGAUGCGUAGCCGACCUGAGAGGGUGAUCGGCCACACUGGAACUGAGACACGGUCCAGACUCCUACGGGAGGCAGCAGUAGGGAAUCUUCCGCAAUGAGCGAAAGCCUGACGGAGCAACGCCGCGUGAGUGAAGAAGGUCUUCGGAUCGUAAAACUCUGUUAUUAGGGAAGAACAAAUGUGUAAGUAACUAUGCACGUCCUGACGGUACCUAAUCAGAAAGCCACGGCUAACUACGUG